UACAGGGAAGGAUGAGAAGCUUCGACUAAGGUUCGACUCGAGCGAAGCGAGAGAACGUUGCCGCAGGCAACGGCCCGAAGGGCGAAGCGCUUUAGCGCCGAGUAAUCCUUCCCCCACCACUG
rnacentral:sRNA from 1 species